rnacentral:rRNA from 1 species
AUAUCACUAAGCGGAGGAAAAGAAAUUAACUAAGAUUGCCUCAGUAACGGCGAGUGAAGCGGCAAAAGCCCAAACUGGAAAUCUUCAUGCUACGCAUGACGAAUUGUAAUCUAGAGGUGGGAAACUCACCUGGCGGAGGCGCAGAAGUUGCUUAGAAUAGCACGCCAUAGAGGGUGACAGCCCCGUAUGUGGUGCCUCCGACUAACGAGUUCCUUUCUAAGAGUCGGGUUGUUUUGAAUUGCAGCCCUAAGCGGGAGAUAGACUUCUUCUAAGGCUAAAUAUAUAUGGGAGACCGAUAGCGCACAAGUA